rnacentral:piRNA from 1 species
UCAGUCUGAAAGUUACACCCAAAAUAAGGCU